UACAGAGGGUGCGAGCGUUAAUCGGAAUUACUGGGCGUAAAGAGCGCGCAGGCGGUCGUUCAAGUCGCGUGUGAAAGCCCCCGGCUCAACUGGGGAGGGUCACGCGAUACUGAUCGACUGGAAGGCAGGAGAGGGUAGUGGAAUUCCCGGUGUAGCGGUGGAAUGCGUAGAGAUCGGGAAGAACAUCAGUGGCGAAGGCGGUCUGCUGGGCCGUUGCUGACGCUGAGGCGCGACAGCGUGGGGAGCAAACAGG
rnacentral:rRNA from 1 species